UACGGGGGGGGCAAGCGUUGUUCGGAAUUACUGGGCGUAAAGGGCUCGUAGGCGGCCAACUAAGUCGGACGUGAAAUCCCCGGGCUUAACCUGGGAACUGCGUUUGAAACUGGGAGGCUAGAGUGUGGCAGAGGGGGGUGGAAUUCCACGUGUAGCAGUGAAAUGCGUAGAUAUGUGGAGGAACACCGAUGGCGAAGGCAGCCCCCUGGGCCUGCACUGACGCUCAUGCACGAAAGCGUGGGGAGCAAACAGG
rnacentral:rRNA from 1 species